rnacentral:rRNA from 1 species
AACGAACGCUGGCGGCAUGCCUAACACAUGCCAGUCGAACGAGACCUUCGGGUCUAGUGGCGCACGGGUGCGUAACGCGUGGGAACCUGCCCUUAGGUUCGGAAUAACUCCCCGAAAGGGGUGCUAAUACCGGAUAAUGUCUUCGGACCAAAGAUUUAUCGCCUUUGGAUGGGCCCGCGUUGGAUUAGCUAGUUGGUAGGGUAAAAGCCUACCAAGGCGACGAUCCAUAGCUGGUCUGAGAGGAUGAUCAGCCACACUGGGACUGAGACACGGCCCAGACUCCUACGGGAGGCAGCAGUGGGGAAUAUUGGACAAUGGGCGAAAGCCUGAUCCAGCAAUGCCGGGUGAGUGAUGAAGGCCUUAGGGUUGUAAAGCUCUUUUACCCGGGAUGAUAAUGACAGUACCGGGAGAAUAAGCUCCGGCUAACUCCGUG